CCUACGGGUGGCUGCAGUGAGGAAUAUUGGUCAAUGGACGAGAGUCUGAACCAGCCAAGUAGCGUGAAGGAUGACUGCCCUAUGGGUUGUAAACUUCUUUUAUAUGGGAAUAAAGUGCAGUAUGUAUACUUCUUUGCAUGUACCUUAUGAAUAAGGAUCGGCUAACUCCGUGCCAGCAGCCGCGGUAAUACGGAGGAUCCGAGCGUUAUCCGGAUUUAUUGGGUUUAAAGGGAGCGUAGGCGGGUUGUUAAGUCAGUUGUGAAAGUUUGCGGCUCAACCGUAAAAUUGCAGUUGAUACUGGCAUCCUUGAGUACAGUAGAGGUAGGCGGAAUUCGUGGUGUAGCGGUGAAAUGCUUAGAUAUCACGAAGAACUCCGAUUGCGAAGGCAGCCUACUGGACUGCAACUGACGCUGAUGCUCGAAAGUGUGGGUAUCAAACAGGAUUAGAUACCCCUGUAGUC
rnacentral:rRNA from 1 species